CGGUUUGGAAGUGAAAAUGCGCAAGCACUUUACGAUCGGGUAAGGGUUUCAAUAGCAACUCCUCGGAAAAUUCUUCUUCUUCUUUUUCUAAUAUUGCCGAUGAUAGAAUCGGAAGAAAGAGAAGAAGAGAGAGAGCGAAGGUCGCUGUUGAAGCGAGAGCCAUCGUUGCUUGCGAAGUUGGGAACUCGCUAUGAGUGAUGUGUAUACAGUACACUACAGAAGUUCCGCCAUGAACGCGGUUUGCGAGCUUCAGGUUUCGGUGAUGGUCCAAGAGUUUCUCUUCUUGUGGGCCAAGUUUUUUGGGCUUUAUGUAAGCCCAAUUAAAUUUAUUUAGGGAAAUCUUCUCUUUCACUGUAUUCUCACAUGAUCCAAAAUUCUAAAUUUGCCCCUCUUUGGAUAUAUUAAGUGAUACUGUGACACAUAAAUUUGAUGUCAUGUCAUAGGAAAUUUUUUGACAUUAAAUAGAAACAUCAAAGAGACUAAUGACUAAUUCUUUUUCUCUAUUAAUUUAUUCUCCAAAUUCUUAAAUUCCUAAAUUAUCAACAAAAAAAAAAAAUUUAUCAAAUUCUUAAAUUGUACCACCCAAAUAACUUCUUCUCCUUAAAUUUGAAAUACAUGAAACAUUGGUCUUGAGGUUGUUGUCUAGGAGUUGAAAUUAGAAUUCCUCUAAAUGAUGUUAGUCCUCUGAAAGGUUGUGGAGAAGGUGUGGGUUCUUUGAAUGGUGUUGGUCCUCUGAUGGAUGGUGGUCUAUUUCCAUGUCCAUCAAUGAUUUCCUACAAAAUUUUAAACAAUUAGACAACUUACAUGCUAAAUUUUCUAACUCGUUAGCAAAAAUCUCACUAAAAUUUACUUCUCCAUGAUUUGAAUAACUUACAAGCAAAAUGUUCUCUAACUAAAACCAAAUUGCCCCACAAAGUAAAACAAUUAUUGACAUAGAGAUUGGUCACAAAGUAAACUAGACAUAUCAGACUAGUGAUUGUAAAAUUAGUGUAUUGAUCUUGGGAUUGUUGUUGCUCUUUAGUAAUGAUAGAUUUUGAUUGAGGGAUCUCUGCUUGUGUUUCUAUCUCUCUUUGUGGGUUUGGUAUAAUAGACACACUAUUGUCAUGUCAUUCCCCACCACAAUUAGAGCAUGUCCACUCAUUAUCAGAUCUCUUUAGUUUAUAGCCACUGAUCGAAUCUUUAUUCCGAUCAUUUCUUUUCUUUUUCUUUUUCUUUCCCAUAAUUUUCUUUAAUGGAGGUUGUACUAAAGUAGCAAUGUCAAUCACAAAAAAAUGGAGAUUUGAAUUGUGAUUUCACCUUUUUAAAAUUUCUUGUUAAAACAUAAAGAAUUUAACUCAAGAUUAAUGUUGGUUAUGAAAAUAGAAAAUGGAGAACGUUUUUGGUUAGUGAAAAAAACAAAAUUUAAUUUAUCUAUUUAAUUUGAUAAUCAAAAGACUAGAAAUAAAUAGAGAUAAAGGAAGAGAUAUCACACAGAGAUAUAUUCUGGUUCACCCAAUCCGGGUUACGUCCAGUCCUCACAACCGUGAGAUUUUUUACCAAGUGUUCAACACGAAGAAUGUUCUUGCUUUUUACACCACCAGUCCAGAUCAACCUUGAUCUGUUAUAAUCUUCACCUUUCAACUUAGAAAUCAUUUUUACAAUCACCUUUCAACCUUGAAAAGAUUUUUACAAACACACUCAAUCUAACAUAAAAGAUAGACUUGAGUUACAAAUGAUGUGUAUGAUAAAAAUGUUUGGGAUCUUGAAAUUUCUCAAUACUUGUUUGAGAGAAAUGAAAGAUAAACUCAGUAAAUAAUGACCCAAAGAUAUAGUGAAGAAAGUUGGAGUUUGCUUAAAGAGUUUUUUUUUUUACUUGUUACUUGAACAAGUGUUGGUAGAUUUGUAAAUUGAACUCUUGCAUUCAUCUUCCAAUUGAUCUUCAAUUUAUAGAUGUUAAAAGGCUUUGAAUAUAUAUUUUAAAAUGAAACAUGUGUUUAUCUGUUGUCCAGAACGUUCUUGAUAAAACAGAGAACAUUCUUGCUAUUGGGUCUCUUGGAAAAUGUGAAUGAGUGAGUGAAUGAGUUGACACUGUUUUGAGUCAGAUUUGUGCAUAACUUUAUGCAGAAUAUUGUAAGUACAAUGUACUUGUGUCCUUGCUCACAACUCAACAAUUUGGAGAUCAAUCUUGAGAUUGUUUUUUACCUUUGGGCAUUGAUCUCGAGUUUUUGGCUUCACCAAUGAUUUGAGAAGUCGUGAUACUCUUUAAUAUGUGGUUUAGACUGUGGAAAAUUAUUUUUUUCAAUUUUAUCUUUUAAAAGAGAUUAACCAGAAUGUUCUUUUGUAAAACAAGAACAUUCUUCAUUUUCUAUUUUGUAUGAGUGUUGGAUUUUGACAGUUGUUGUGUGUCAGUCCUUUGUCUCAUAAAAACAUGAUGUGUUUUAUGCAAAAAGGUGCAGCAGUAGUGUCCUUGUUGUCAUGGUUGUCCUUACUCAUAGCUCAUCAAUUUGGAGAUUGAUUUUGAUGGUUUGCUUUGCUUAUGUUGAUCCUCUUUGAUCGAAUCUAUCUAAAAAAAUCUUGUGUAGAUUAUUAAAUUACUCUGUAAUGAAUAUUGAUGUUUUGUAGUAUAGAUAGAUGUACUUUUGUUUCCCAAAUCGAAUUUAAACUACAACAUAUUUUGCUCUUUGUAAACCAGAACGUUCUUGGAUUAAAAUUGUAAAAACAAAUAACGUUCUUCGUUUCUGUUUUGAGUGAUUGCUGGAUUUUGACAAUUCUAACAGUUGUUGUGUGUCAAGUUUUUCUGUUUUGUACGCGUGUCAGUGAUGCAGUGACUUUAUAAUUUAUGUCCAGUUUGUAAUUGCUUACUUUUUAGCCAUCAAUUUUAGGGAUUAGUCUUAUUUUUUAUUCUUGAUGCAUUGCUUUCUUUUUUUGUUGAUCUUAUGAAAAUAAUAUGUCCAAAAUGAUCUUGAGUAUACAAUUAUGUUCCUUCGUAAUGAAUACUAGUGAUUUGCAAUGUAGAUUGAUGUAUUUUUGUAGCCUAAAUCAAUCUUGAUUUAAAGAAGACUUUGUUCUUUGUAAACUAGAAUGUUCUUGGAUUAAAGUUAUCAAAACCAGAACAUUCUUCGUUUUUCAAAAUGUUAUCAAGAAUGAUCUUUGUUUUUCAAAAUGUUGUCAAGAAUGUUCUUCGUUUUUUCUAUUCAAUAACCAGAACAUUAUUCGUUUCUCAUAUUUGAUAUUUCUUCUUUCAAAUGAUCUUGCUUCCGAUUUAUAACAUAAUAUGAUCACUGAUUGUUGUAUGAAUGUAUUUGAUCACCUUCUUCAUGAAGAUGUAAUAAUCAUUCUCUUGAAUGAUUGAUAUAUGAUACGUUCUUUUUGAGAUUAUUUCAUUAUUGAUUGGGUACUUAUGCACUUUGAUGAAGUGAAUUAAAACUCAAGUGCAAUCAUUAGUAUACCACCAUUCAUAAAACUUAAUCAUUUAUUUCAUAAGGUUGUUGUCAUUAAAACAUACAUCAAAAAGGUUUUUGCCUUAACAGGUACAAGUUUGGGUAAUCAAUUAUCCUCUCAAUAUUGUUGAGAAGUUGAAGGGUUUAUGAAGUAAUUGUAGUUUGUAUUGCAAGAGGUAAUUGUAAGUCAUCCAUUAAAACUUUGGAGUAGAAGGAGAAUAAGUGAUUUAAGUAGUGUAGUUUAGGGAUUUAAGAAUUUGGAGAAAAAUAAAUAGAGAAGAAAAACUAGUUGUUAGCCUCUUUAAUGUGCUUAUUUAUUGUCAAAAUACUCACUAUGAUGUGUCAUCCACACUUAUGUGUCACGGUGUUACUUAACGUGAAACAUGAGCUCCUCUAAUAGAGCUCAUUGAUGGAAAGAACAUUUUGCUCGAUGUUAAACAAAAUGAGAGUAUUUUUUGCAUAGUGUAAAUUUCAGUGAGCAUUUUGAUUGACAGUUAUAAUUUGAGGAGACAAAUUGGAGGUUUAGACCACUUAAAAGUCCUAAACUCUCAAAAAAAUUCUCAAAUAUUUGAUUUUCUAUCAAAACAUCAUAUUUAGUUGGUUCAAUAGUCUUAAUCAAAAUGUAAGUGUUGUUUUUCCCCUUAUUUUAGUUUUUCCUUUCGUGUUUUUCUUCUUCUAAUCUACCAUAUCUAGAUUGACCAAUCCACGUACGCUAUGUUUCUGAUUUUUUUGUUUUGUUUCAUAGUUUAGUUUAGGGUAUUAUUAGUUUUAAUUAUUUUCGUUUUUCAUUUGUUUGUUUAAUUGAGAUAUGCUCCAAAUUUCCCGUAUUAGACAUGGUGGAAUUUCAACUCAUGCCUCUAGUUACAGAUAACAUUAGGAGAAACAAAUUUAUGGGCGGGAUUAAAGUUCACAUACAAAAAGUAAAAAAAAAUAAAUAAAUAAAUACCACCACCACAUAUUUUAUCAUUUUCUGGAGUUGGAAUCUUUUCACGAAUACGCGGCAGUUUAAAUAGAAAUUUUUUCCCAAUAUAUCCUUUUUUUUUAUACUAAAGUACCCUACUCCCAGUUUUAUAUAUCAGAUUGUCCUACUUUUUGGACCUAAUAGGAAGUCGCUGGCCCACGGUGCAAUCUCCCACUAGGGUUGAAUUUUUUUUUUGUCGUUUUAAGUAUUAUUAUAUGAAUUAAAUAUAUUAAUUAAUAAUUAAAUUAAUAAAUAAUAAUACAUUAAUAAAUAACAAUAAUUAUUAUUAUUAUUAUUAUUAUUAUUAUUAUAUUGUUAUUAUUAUUAUGAUUAAAAAUGAUUAUAAUUAAAAAUUAGGGCAAUUUAUGAUUAAUCAAUUUGCUAAAAUUAAUUUGAUACUUACCAAAUUUGCUACUUAUCAAAUUGGAUUAAUCAAUUUGAUAUCAAAUUUUUGCGAUUAAUCAAUUUUUUACCAAAUUGUACAAUUGAUUAUUUUUUUCAUUUAACGGUAAAAUUAAUUAUUAAUCAUAAAAUGCUAAAAUUAAUUUUCUCAUUAAAUAUGAUUCGGUAAAUUGAUUAAUUUUCUCAUUAACUUACAAAUUAAUUUAAUAUCAAAAAAAUUGAUUUGUGUGAUUGGUAAAUUGAAUAUGCAUUAGCUUGUUUGUCUUGUCACAUUUAUUCAGCCGCAUUAAUUUUGAUAUAUAUAUUUUGUCACAUUACCAAUCACACGAAUAAUUUUUUUUGAUAUAUUGAGAUAAAAUCAUGUAAUAUAUUGUAUAAUAAUGUAUUGUUAACUUAUCUUAAAAGAUAAAAUUAAAUUAAAUAUAUUCAUCUUCCAAAUGUAUUUUAAAAAUAUCUAUAUAUAAAAUGAUUAGAUUAAGUUCUUUUAUUACUUUUUCCAAUCACACAAAUCAAUUUUUUUGAUAUUAAAUUAAUUUGUAAAUUAAUGAGAAAAUUAAUCAAUUUAUCAAAUCAUAUUUAAUGAGAAAAUUAAUUUUACCAAUUUGUGAUAUAUCGUUAAUUUAACGAUUAAAUAAGAAAAUUAAUGAAAAAAAUUAAUCAAUUGUACAAUUUGGUAACAAAAUGAUUAUUCGCAAAUUGUCCAAUUUGGUAAGUAUCAAAUUAAUUUUAGCUAAUUGAUUAAUCAUAAAUUGUCCUACUUUUUAAUUAUAAUGAUUUUUAAUAAUAAUAAUAAUAUAAUAAUAAUAAUAAUAAUAAUAAUAUAAUAAUAAUAAUAAUAAUAAUAAUUAUUAUUAUUAUUAUUAUUAUUAUUAUUAUUGUUGUUGUUGUUGUUGUUAUUUAUGAAUGUAUUAUUUAUUAUUAUUUAUUUAUUUAUUUAUUUAAUAAUUUAUUGAUAUAUUUAAUUCAUAUAAUAAUACAUAAAAUGGCAACAACAAAAAAUCAACCCUAGUAGAAGGUCGCAUCCUAAGCCAGCGACUUCCAAGUAGGUCCAAUUCAGAAUCUUCUUUUAGCUGGUCGCACCUUGGGCCAACGACUUCCUAUUUAGUCCAAAAAGUAGGGCAAUCUAGUAUAUAAAACUGGGAGUAGGGUAUUUUGGUACAAAAAACAAAAAGAAAAAGAGAAUAUAUUGAAAAAAAUCCACUUAAAUAUAGAUAGGAGAGAGAAAUAUCGAAAUGCGUUUUGUUUAAAUAUCAAAUAAUAUAAAGUAAUCACUUGCAAAAUUUAACCUCAAUCAUGGCCGAUUUUAAUGUAGGCAUUCUAUAGGAGGUGUAGGAUGAGGAGGUGUAGGAUAUCUUUUUCUAUCAGUACAAUAGUCAUAUAUUACAUAAUUUUUCUUUAUAUUUUCUAAUUGUUUUUCUUCUUGAGGAUUUAAUUGCCAAUAAUUUUGGUUAUUCCACCAGAAAUUACCAUUAAAACAUUUAGGAUCAACCAAGUUUGGAUUUAGACUUGGACAUCCACUAACAUCAAAUCCUUGGAAGUAUGCUUUAAAAGGUGCAUAAUUCCAAUUGAUUUUGGCUUUGCCUCCUUCUGUUGCCCAAUCUUCACCAUUCCACAAACUUAUUUGUAUUUGCAUAGCAUUUGAUGGAUAGCUCGCUCCAAUAUUGGUAUUGUUCUUGUAUACUCUAAUGGGGAUAUUGUCCACAUAAAAUCUGUCAAGCCAAAAUUUGAUCAAAUUUUACAAUUACAUAUAUAACUAUAUGUAAAUACAUUAAUUAAUAUAGACUUAUACAAAGAACUAGUGUGCAUGUAUGUAUCUUACACAAUUUGAUGUGCAUUCCAAAGAAUUUUGUAGUCGUGAAAAUCGAUUGUGGGGUCAAACCAAAGAUGAAUUUUGUGUUCCCUAUUUCCUACUCCAUUUGCAAACACAUUGGUCUGUAAUAUAUAUGGCUUCCCUAUUCUAUUGCCCAAAAAUUCAAAGUCCAUCUCUUCGUGCAAUUUUCCAAGUGUUGUCAACUGCACAAUAAAUGAAAAAAACUUAUUAAAUUAUCUUUAUUAUUAGUUGUUGUAUUCUUUUUAUUAUAAAUGUAAAUUGAAAAAUUAAAAUUUUAGUGUAAUACACGUAAUAUUAAUUAUGAUUUAAUUUAUAUAUAUUAUCAAUCCAAAUAAUUUAUUAAUAAAAAUAUUUAGUUUUUAUCAAGUAAAAUUUUGUAGAUAUAACAAUUAAAUUCUAUUAAUUAUCAGAUAAAGUUGAAAAAAAAUAAUUAAAAUUGUAUUUGAAACUAAAAGUAUAUAUCUUCUAAACAAUUUAAAUUGUGUAACUGUGGCAAUUAUUAUAAGAAAUAUGGACUAAUAAUUAGGAUUAAAUCUCCUCUUCUGGCAUGAAAUAAGAGUAUAAUUUCAUAUUCAACAUCAUAUCAUAUCAAAAUAAGGGGAAAGAACUCACAUAGUAAGCUGUGACAACUCCUGCAGAGUCACUGCCUGGUACUUUGAUCCUCAUAUGGAAGAAUCCAGAGCCAUAAGUCAUCUUCGAUGCAAAUCCAGCUCCUAUAUUGCAUAUGUGAUAACUUAAUAUCAAAUUAACUUGCAAAAAAGGAAGCAGUGUUCCAUAUUAAAAUAACUAAUCUACCGAUUACAUUCAAAUUAUAGUUACCCCAAGUUUUCUAUAUUGUAAUGUAUAUAUAUUUUUUUUAUUUACUUUAGGUAUUUUUUAAAAGAAAAAUGGUAAUAUAUAAAUAUAAAAAAGAGCAUGUCUAAAAAAAAUAUAAAGGUGCUCGCAUCUAUGUAUAUAAUACUUUCUCUGUAUUAUAAUAAAGAAAUGGAUAUUAUAAUAUAUAUUAUUUAUUUAAAAAAGAUCAAAUUACAAACCACUUAAAAAAACAUUUAAAUCCGACGACAUAUUUAAGUAAAUAUAGAUGAAUUAUUAUUAUAUUAAAUUGUGCCUUUUAUGUUAAAUCAUUGAUUCUCUAACAUUUUAUAUAAUUUAUGCAUAUUAGUUUAUAUUACUUUUUGACUUAUUUAAAUGUAUUAUUAUAAAAAAGAGUUUAAAAAUAUGUUAUAUAAAGUUGAAUUCUUUAAAAUGUCAUGUUGAAUCUCAAAAUAAAAUCUAAUCUCAUUAACUUAUUAACUCAUUAAUUUAUCUAAAAGAAUAUUAAAUUAUUUAUUUAAAAAUAUUAAUAUAAAAUAAAUAUUUAAAUAUGCUAACAAAUUAUAUUAUACUUUCAAAUAUAUCAAACUUAUGCUUUGUAAAACCUAACUUUACCCAGUAUAUAUAGUCAUUUGUAGACAGCUUGAUUGGUGAGAAAAAAAAUACUAAAACAAUAAUAAAAAUGAAAUCCGAGACUAAAAUUUAAAAAACUAAUAUAGCUACUAAUUUCUAAUAGAAUAUUUAAUAAUACAACUUUUAAGACAACAAUGAUGAAUUUUGCAUAAUUAAAUUGUGAAUGCAUAUAGUAAGAUAUUGACUGACAUAACCAAAUCAUGUGUCUUAUUUUCAAUGGUAAUUACCAUUUUCUAUGUUAUGUUAUGGAACUCUAGGGGAAGAAUCAUAUGACCAAACAAAAUCAAGUCCUAGACACUACAGUAAUGGGAAUCGAUUCUCUCCCAUGAAAUCUUAGUCUCAUAUAUAUAAGACAACAAAAAAUAAAAAUAAUGGAUGAUAUUUUCUCCAUCUCAAAUGAAUAUCAAUUUAUCAAAACAAAUUUAUCUUAUGAUGAAUGUGAUUUACAAAUUUAAAAAUAAUUUUAAGUUUUUUUAUACUAUCUUUAAUAAUUACUAUAUAUAUAUGACACUUAUUAUAACCAAUAGAUUAAUUUCACAUGUAGAAACGAAAUAUUACCGGCAUCAAAUAAAAAAUGAAAAAAUAGAUUUUAAUUUUGACACCAUUCAUAUUUAACGACUAAAUUAAAAACAAAUUUUAGUCUUUAAUUUAGUUGAUAUUUUAAUUAAAUUUGUUUCAUUUUUAUGACAUAAUCACUAAUAUACUUGGUAGUGUUGAAUAUUUUUUCUUUUAACUGAAAAAAUAGGCGUGACCAUUUAAAUAAAAAAUAAACAGACGUCGAAAAGGCGAUUUAACAAUAAUUAAGGUAAAAUGAAUGAUUAAUAUAUAACCUGAAUAGUUAUCCAUUGUGAGCAGAAUUUCGUUCCCUUGAUUUAAAGACACUAAAUGAUUGCCACCCCAUGUGGGGUUGUAAGUUUGACCAAAUACUACUCCUUCAUUUUUUGUAAUUACUCUACCAAGAACAAUAUGAGGGACGAGGACCAAAAUAAAAACAAUAAUUAGAAAACUCAUUGAAUAAUGUGACCAAAUUUGGCCACAGGGUUUAAUCUUUUACACAGCUAUGGAAUCGAUUUGAUUAUAAUUCCUACUCUAGUUCUUCAUCUAUAUAUAUGUAUGUGGGUCACGUUGACUUAUCAAUAGUCAAUACUUUUUUGGGCCCGGUUUUUUUUAGUGUUUAAAUAAAUCAACUUUAAAAUUAAAGCAAUAAUUAACACCUUUAGAAAUAAAAUUAAAUACGUUUCACAUUCAGUAUUUUUGCUGCUUUAAAAGCUAAGUUGUUUAUUAAAAUAUAUUCUAUUGAAAUUCUAAUCAUGAAAACUAAUUAAUGAAAUAAAUGUGUUAUAAUAUUUUAUUGUUCUAUAUUUGAAAAAUUAUAAAUAAUUUUACUAAUGUACUUAUUGGGUUAAAAUUCCUAAUAAAGUUUUAUCAAAACUAAGAAACUCACCAAUAUAAAUAUAAUUUAAUAAAUUGUACAAACGUUUUAUUUUAACUUUAAUAUAUUAGUUUAAAAAUAAAAUUUUAAUCUUAAUUUUGACUUACAUAGUUACUAGAUAAUAUUAUAUGAUUAGAUUAACAAAAUGGAUAAUUUUUAUUUUUUUUUCCAUAUUUUUUAUUAAUAGAAAACAUAGUACAUAGUAUUAUGUAAUUUUUUUUUGCGGAAGUUUUAUAUGAUCAACAAUAUACACUACGGCCAUUUUUUAUAAUAAAAUAUAUAUACAAUUUUUGGUAAGAGAAAAUAGUAUUAAUGCUUGUAGUUGGUCAAAAACAUAGUUGUUGAUCAAAUUAAUCAUUACUAGAAAAAGAAUUAAUGCGGAAUGCAAUUAAGUCUUAUUAAAAAAUUAACUUUUCUGUCCAAAUAAGAGUAGACCAAACAUAAUUUAUGGUCGAAAAAUUUCCUCCGAACCCCCUCUUUUAUUUAUGUAUCCUCAAAAUAUAAAAGAAAAGAUUAAAAUACCCUCAUAUAUAUAUAUAUUAAAAAAUAACUAUUUUUCAUUUCGAUAUUUCCGGAACAAGAGUGUCAAAAAAUUCUUUUUUUUUUUUGGAAAACUUUUUUUAAGUUUUUCAGUGCACAACUUCAACUCCGGAAAACUUGAAAAAAGUUUUCCGGUACAUAACUUCACUCCCAGAAAACUUAUUUCACGUUUUUUGAAAAAAAUACACUAUCAGAAAACUUCAAUGUAAUAUUUCCAGAAGCUAACGGAAACCUUCGUCCAUGAGUUUUCGGGUAGUUGUCUGAUUUUUUAAAAAAUUAUUUUUUAAAUUAUUUUUUUAUUUAUUUUUUUAUUAUAUUAGUAUUUAUUUAAUUGAUUUGAUUUUAACUACUUUUUUUCUAGUGAGUAGGGCUAGAGGUGGAGACAGCAAAGUUGUAGCAAGAAUAUAUCUAUCCACGAGGAGGAUCAGACAAUACACAUAGACUGUACACGAGAAAGAUCAGGAGCAUGAGCAAGGUACGAAGAGGAGGGUGAUGGUCGAAUGUAUUAAUUAUUAUUUAUGGUAUAUUAAUUAUAGUACAUUAAUUAUUAAUUAUUAAUUAUUAUGGUGUAUUAAUUAUUUAUUGUGUAUUUAUAGUAUAUUAUUUAUAGUGUUUUAUUUAAGGAAUAUUAUUUAUUUAGGAUGUAUUAAUUAUUUAAUGGUAUAUUUAUGGUGUGUUAAUUACUAAUUUAUGGUAUAUUAAAAAAAAAAAGGUGUGUACAAACAUCUUUUGUUUAUUGUAGAAACAUCUUCUGUGCCGGAAAAGUUGAAGAAAGUUUUUCGGUAAUACACAUUUUUUCAUUCUGUACUGGAAAUCUUUUUUUGAGUUUUCCGGUAAAAACUUUAUGUACCAGAAAACUUAUAAAAAGUUUUUCGAAAAUACUAUGUGUAUCGGAAUUCUUCUAAAUAGUUUUCUAGAAAUUACUGGAAAACUUUUACCUACUAAAAAUCGUGUUAUUGUCUCAGAACAUAAUAAAAUGAAAAAAAAUAAAGGUAUUUUUGACAUUUUCAAAAAUUUAUGGGGAUAUAAAUAUAAAAAUGGAAGUACACGGUAAAUUUUUCUUUAUAGUCCGAUAUAUGGACCCAUUUAUUGUAUAUACUCAUCUGACACUGGACAAAAUUAUAUCCUGUUCUUUAGGUCCAUCUUCUUAAUGUUUCUCACUAUUUUAUUAAAAGUUGUAGUAUAUAUGUAAUUGCCUUGUAAUAUUUGUUCAUAGAAAGUAACUUUAUUUUUUCGGAGAGGAACCGGUUGAACAAUGUGUUGGGUUUUGGGCUCCCUUCCUAUGUGGAGAAAGGCCCAAUAUAUGCAAGUCCAUAUGUCUCACUUAACCAAGUGGAGAGAGGUCAGAUUAGUGGGCGUGAAAGAGCUGAAUUCAGAGAGAGACAAAGAGAAAAGCGAGAGAGGAAGAGCAAACCCUAUUUUCGCAUAAAACAGAGCAGCUACACUAGAUUCGCGAUUUCUCCUUCGUUCACCGUCGGAUCGGGCUGAAAUUUGGACAGCAGGUUCGUGACUCGUGGUACUUCAUUCUGACCGUUUGGAUCGUCGAUCAGAGGUCUGAGGUGGGAGAAAUUGGACUCGGACAGCAGCAGUUUUUCUGGUUUUUUUUUUUGCUGAACUUUGUUCUCAAUUUCAUGUUUGUUUUCUCAUUGUGUUGGCUGAUUGUUGUGCUGGUUACCUUGCUGUUUUUGGCUGGUUACUGAGCACGAAUUUGUGCCAUAUUAGAAACUCUCUUGUACCCAUAUUUUGAUCAUAGUGGAACACUAUUACUGGCUUGGUCCCGUGGUUGUUUACUUCUCACAUUGAGAAGGUUUUUCCACGUUAAAAAUUAUUGUGUCAUUUGUGAUGAUGAUUUUAGUUGCUGUGAUUAUUUGUUGAUUGCUCCUCACAGAUUCUUGCAAGUUUGGGAAAUUGAUUAUCCGCUGCAUAUUGCUCUGUUAGAGUUGUUAUUGUAUUUGUUGUUGAAUUUCCCAUCAGAGUGGUAUCAGAGCUCUUUGGUUAAGGGGCUGUUUGACUUGUUUGAAUGAUGGAGGCAAAUACAAAUAGAAUGAUUUGUUUGAAUGACACUAAUUAUCACUUAUGGAAGGGAAAAAUGAAGGAUCUGUUAUUUGUGAAGAAUUUGCAUCUUCCUGUGUUUGCUACUGAGAAGCCAGAAUCCAAGACUGAUGAGGAUUGGAGCUUUGAACAUCAGCAGGUCUGUGGUUUUAUUCGGCAAUAUGUAGAAGACAAUGUUUAUAAUCACAUUGCUAAUGAGGAACAUGCAAGAUCCUUGUGGAAGAAGAUUGAAUCUUUGUAUGCUUCUAAAUCAGGGAAUAAUAAGUUGUAUUUGUUGAACUCCUUGAUGAAUUUGAGGUACAAGGAGGGGACUUCUAUUUCAGAUCAUUUAAAUGAUUUUCAAGGGCUCCUAGAUCAAUUGUCAGGUAUGGGUAUCAAAUUUGAUGAUGAAGUGUUGGGACUAUGGCUACUGAAUACUCUACCAGAUUCUUGGGAAACUUUUCGGGUUUCAAUUACAAACUCAGCUUCUGAUGGUGUUGUCUCUUUGCAAAGUGUAAAGGGAAGUGUUCUUAAUGAGGAGAUGAGAAGGAAGGCACAAGGUACUUCAUCUCAUUCCGAGGUACUUGUCACUGAGAACAGGGGCCGAAGUCAAAGAAAGGAACCGAAAGGGAAUAGACAGAAUAACAGAAGUGCGAGUAGAGAGAACAACAGAAGUAAGUCCAAGUCCAGACACAAGAAUGUGGAGUGCAAUUAUUGUCACAAAAUGGGGCACAUACAGAGGAACUGUUUCAUAUGGAAAAGGGAGAGCAAAAACAAUAACAGUAAGCAGAGAGAUAAGAAUCAUGAUGAUGAUGACCGUGUUACUACUGCUACUUGUGAUGAUCUGAUUAUUCUCCGUGACUAUGACUCAGUCAAUCUUGUAUCAGAUGAGAGCAUGUGGAUUAUUGAUAGUGGUGCUACACUGCAUGUUACACCAAGGAAGGAGUUCUUCACAUCUUACACUUCUGGUGACUUUGGAGUGUUGAAGAUGGGUAAUGAUGGUGUGUCCAAGGUAGUUGGUAUUGGUGAUGUUUGUUUGCAGACCAACAUGGGAGUGCAGUUGUUGCUUAGAGGAGUCAAACAUGCUCCAGAUGUUCGCUUUAAUUUGAUCUCUGUGCAGAUGCUUGAUGAUGGUGGUUAUGAUAAUCACUUUGGUUCAGGAAAAUGGAAACUCACCAGAGGUAACUUAGUUGUGGCCAGAGGGGAGAAAAUUAAUAAACUGUAUUGGACUAAAGCAUUGGUUGCUAAAGACAGUGUGAAUGCCAUGGAUAUGGAGGCUUCUUUGUGGCACCGCAGGCUUAGUCAUAUCAGUGAAAAGGGGCUGAAUUGUUUAGCUAAAAAGGAUGUACUUCCGGGAUUAAAGAGUGCAGAGUUGGAGAAAUGUUCUCAUUGCAUGGCUGGUAAGCAGACUAGAGUAUCCUUCAAGAAACAUCCUUCCUCAAGGAAGUCAGAGUUGCUUGAAUUGGUGCAUUCUGAUGUUUGUGGCCCGUUGAAGGUAAAGUCAAUUAGUGGUGCACUUUACUUUGUUACUUUUAUUGAUGAUUGUUCCAGAAAGCUUUGGGUCUAUGCUUUGAAGACAAAAGACCAAGUUCUGGAGAAAUUCAAAGAGUUCCAUGUUAUGGUGGAGAGACAGUCAGGCAAGAAGUUGAAAUGCAUUCGUACUGACAAUGGUGGUGAGUAUUGUGGACCAUUUGAUGUUUAUUGCAAGCAGCACGGUAUCAGACAUGAAAAGACUCCUCCUAAAACCCCUCAGCUGAAUGGUUUAGCAGAGAGAAUGAACAGGACAUUGAUUGAAAGAGUUAGGUGUAUGCUUUCUGAAGCAAAGUUGCCUAAGCAUUUCUGGGGUGAAGCAUUGUACAUGGCAGUGCAUGUUAUUAAUCUGAGUCCUGCAGGUGCUUUGAAUGCUGAGGUGCCAGACAAGAUUUGGUUUGGCAAGAAUGUCAGGUAUGAUCAUUUGCGUGUCUUCGGUUGCAAAGCAUAUGUGCAUGUUCCAAAGGAUGAGAGAUCCAAGUUGGAUGGGAAGACAAGACAGUGCAUCUUUAUCGGUUAUGGUCAGGAUGAAUUUGGCUACAAGCUGUUUGAUCCAGUUGAGAAGAAAGCUGUUAGAAGCCGUGAUGUGAAGUUCAUGGAAGACCAAACCAUUGAAGACAUUGAUAAGAUGGAGAAGACUACACCUGAGAUUGAUAAUGGUUUGUCUGAUGUUGAUCCAGUUCGGAUGCCUACACAUGAUCUGGAUACUGCUGAAAAUAAUGUUCAGAAUGAUGAGCAACAUGGUGAUGUUGGUGAUCAGCAGCUUGGAGAUGAUUUUGAUGUUCCUAAUGAUGAUGCUGAAGAAGAACAUGAGAUGUCACAAGAUGAGGAUCUUGGUGAUGCUCCUGAACCACCUCAAGCUCAAGUUUGGAGGUCUACUAGGCAGAGGAAACCAUCCACCAGGUAUCCUUCUGAUGACUAUGUUACCUUGACUGAUGGAGGCGAACCUGAAUGUUAUGAUGAAGCCAUGGAGAGUGAUGAAAAGAAGAAGUGGUUGGAUGCUAUGCAAGAUGAAAUGAAGUCUUUGCAUGAUAAUCACACUUUUGAUUUGGUGAAACUACCUAAGGGAAAGAAGGCUUUGGAAAACAGGUGGAUCUUCAGAGUGAAGCAAGAAAGCAAUUCUACAUCUCCAAGAUAUAAAGCUAGAUUAGUUGUGAGAGGUUUCAGACAGAGAAAGGGUGUUGAUUUCAAUGAGAUUUUUUCUCCUGUGGUGAAGAUGUCAUCCAUUAGAACUGUGUUGAGUUUGGCUGCUACUCUUGAUUUGGAGGUAGAGCAAAUGGAUGUAAAAACUGCUUUCCUUCAUGGUGAUUUGGAGGAAGAGAUUUACAUGAAGCAACCUGAUGGUUUUCUUGUUAAAGGCAAAGAAGACUAUGUGUGUAGGCUCAGAAAGAGUCUAUAUGGUUUGAAGCAGGCCCCGCGUCAGUGGUACAAGAAGUUUGAGUCAGUUAUGUGUGAGCAAGGCUACAGGAAGACUACUUCUGAUCACUGUGUCUUUGUUAAAAAGUUUGCUGAUGAUGAUUUCAUUAUCUUGUUAUUGUAUGUUGAUGACAUGCUUAUUGUUGGGAAAAAUAUUUCCAUGAUUAACAGGUUGAAGAAGCAAUUGGGCGAGUCAUUUGCCAUGAAAGACAUGGGAGCUGCUAAGCAGAUUCUUGGUAUAAGAAUCAUGCGUGACAGGAACAAGAGAAACUUUGGCUGUCACAAGAACACUAUGUUGAAAGACUGUUACAGAGGUUCCAGAUGGAAUAUGCUAAGGCUGUAAGUACUCCUCUUGCUACUCAUUUUAAAUUGAGUACUAGUCAGAGUCCUACCAAUGAAGCUGAAAAAUCAGAUAUGCAACGAGUUCCUUAUGCAUCUGCUGUGGGUAGUUUAAUGUAUGCAAUGGUGUGUACAAGGCCUGAUAUUGCACAUGCUGUUGGUACAGUUAGUAGAUUUCUGUCUAAUCCAGGUAGAGAGCAUUGGAAUGCUGUGAAAUGGAUUUUGAGGUAUCUUCGUGGUACUACCAGUUUGAGGCUUUGUUUUGGAGGUGAUAAGCCUACUCUUGUGGGAUAUACUGAUUCUGAUAUGGCUGGAGACAUUGAUUCCAGAAAGUCUACUUCAGGCUACUUGAUUAAGCUUGCAGGGGGAGCUGUGGCAUGGCAAUCCAGAUUGCAGAGGUGUGUUGCAUUGUCCACUACUGAGGCAGAGUUCAUUGCCAUUACAGAAGCAUGCAAGGAAUUGUUAUGGUUGAGGAAAUUCUUGCAGGAGCUUGGUUUUGUUCAAGAUAAGUAUUUGCUAUUUUGUGAUAGUCAAAGUGCAAUUCAUCUUGGUAAGAACUCAACCUUUCAUUCUAGGUCCAAGCACAUUGAUGUUAGGUAUCAUUGGAUACGUGAUGUUUUGGAUGCUGGGUUGUUGGAAUUGGCCAAGGUUCAUACAGAUGAUAAUGGUGCUGAUAUGAUGACCAAGGCAUUACCGAGAAGCAAGUUUGAAACUUGUUGUGAGAUCGCCGGUUUGGCGGUCACCUCCACAUAGUUGUGAGGGGGGGAUAUGUUGGGUUUUGGGCUCCCUUCCUAUGUGGAGAAAGGCCCAAUAUGUGCAAGUCCAUGUGUCUCACUUAACCAAGUGGAGAGAGGUCAGAUUAGUGGGUGUGAAAGAGCUGAAUUCAGAGAGAGAGGCAAAGAGGAAAGUGAGAGAGGAAGAGCAAACCCUAUUUUCGCAUAAAACAGAGCAGCUGCACUAGAUUCGCGAUUUCUCCUUCGUUCACCGUCGGAUCGGGCUGAAAUUUGGACAGCAGGUUCGUGACUCGUGGUACUUCAUUCUGACCGUUUGGAUCGUCGAUUAGAGGUCUGAGGUGGGAGAAAUUGGACUCGGACAGCAGCAGUUUUUCUGGUUUUGUUUUUGCUGAACUUUGUUCUCAAUUUCAUGUUUGUUUUCUCAUUGUGUUGGCUGAUUGUUGUGCUGGUUACCUUGCUGUUUUUGGCUGGUUACUGAGCACGAAUUUGUGCCAUAUUAGAAACUCUCUUGUACCCAUAUUUUGAUCAUAGUGGAACUCUAUUAUUGGCUUGGUCCCGUGGUUGUUUACUUCUCACAUUGAGAAGGUUUUUCCACGUUAAAAAUUAUUGUGUCAUUUGUGAUGAUGAUUUUAGUUGCUGUGAUUAUUUGUUGAUUGCUCCUCACAGAUUCUUGCAAGUUUGGGAAAUUGAUUAUCCGCUGCAUAUUGCUCUGUUAGAGUUGUUAUUGUAUUUGUUGUUGAAUUUCCCAUCACAAUGCCUAUAGCAUUGUAAGUAAGUAUUAUCCUUUUGACGUCCACCUAUGUGGCAUUUCUUAUGACUCAUCCAAAAACUAUAAACAAAAAUAAAAAUUCUACAAAACCCUACGUGCUACCUCCUCAGUCUUUCUCAUGUAUCUCUCAUUCCAAAACAUAAUUAAUAUUUGUAUUUUUUUUUAUAACAUUUGUAUUUUUUUUACAUUGGAUGAUCAAGGACCGACUUAACAAGAUUUUUUUAAGUUAAUUCGUCAAAGAAAUAAUUUAACAAAUUUAUUCAAAAUAAUUUUUUUAACUUGAUAGUUAAAUUAAACAAUUUAAGAAGUAUUUUUUUAAGACGAGUGAGAGACAAUUAACUCAACAAAAGGUAAUUAUAAACUAGUGUGUAUUUCUAAUUUCAAAUAUGAGAAGAAAAAAAUAAAAACAAUAAUCUAAAAUAUAAAUAAAUCUCAAUUAAUUAUAAUUUAUAAUGAAGUUGAUUCAAUUAUGAAUAAUGAGAGAAUACAUUAAUUAAAAUCUCUAAGAUAUCAAUUAUCUUUAGUGAUUCAUUGUGUUUUCAGUAAUUUCAAUUAUAUUCAAUUUAUUUGGUCACAAAGCAUGUCCCAAAAUUAUAAUAAAUUUGUAAAGAAUAUAAGCUUUAUCAUAUAAGAUCUCCCUAAACAAUACAAACCUCUACAUAUCUAGAACUUUUCUAACAUAGUUGAAUUUUAUAGGAGUACGUAGUCUUAUAUAGUAUAUGGUUAAAAGGGCAUAUUAGUAUUCUUUAAUGUAUGCAUUCUAAGGGAGCUAUAGGAUACCUUUGCCUAUCACUACAAUAGUCAUAUAUCACAUAAUUUUGCUUUACAUUUUCAUAUUGUCUUUGGCCGGCAGGAUCCAAAUGCCAAUAAUUUUUGUCAUUCCACCAAUAGUUAUAAGAAACACAAUUUGGAUCAAUUAAGCUUUGACUUUGACAUCCACUAAUAUCAAAUCCUUGGAAAUUUGCUUUGAAAGGUGCAUAACUCCAAUUGAUUUUGGUUUGGCCUCCAUCUAUUGGCCAAUUCUCACCAUUCCAUAAACUUGCUUGUAUUUGCAUAGCCUUUGAUGGUAGCUCACUCCAAGAUUGCUAUUGUUCUUGUAAACCCUAAUGGGGAUAUUGCCCACAUAAAAUCUGCCAAAGUCAAACUAUCAUCAGAUUUUGUAACUACACAUAGUUAUAUUAAAGUUUAAAUAGCCUACGUAAAUAUAACAAUUUUCAGUUUUAGUAUCUAUAAAAUUUUUUGUUUGAAUUUCAUCCCUACAAUAUCUGAAAAUUUUAUUUUUGGUCAUUAACAUUAAGUGAACGUUACAAAAACUUAAGUUAACAAAAAAAAAAUUUUUUUUGUCCUUGCAAAUAUAAUAUUGUUCAGUUUUAGCCCCUACAAAAUUUUUUGUUUGAAUUUCAUCGUAUUCAUCACCAUAAAUCACACAUCUAAAAAGUGAGUUUUAUCAUUUUCAUCAUCCCAACAGUCCAUAUUUUCUUUCACCCAACUCAAUCUCUUUCUAAUUAUAUUCGUACUUCACUUAACUCAAUUUUUUCUAUCAAUAACUCUACCUCCAACUUCAUAUUUUCCCUCUAUUAUCUCAAAAAAAUAAUAUAUAUGCUUAACUAUUAACUACUUCCACUUUUUUCUAAAAAUCUUUAAAGUGUUAAAUAUAAUUAUUUUUUAUAAUCCCUAACAAAUGAAGUAUAAGUAACCACUACUACUUCAAAGAGAACCGGGGGACAUGUAAAUAUCUUACACAAUGUGAUGGGGGUUCCAUAGAAUUUUGCAGUCGUGAAAAUUUGUUGUGGGGUCAAACCAAAGGUGAAUUCUUUGCUCUCUAUUCCCAUCACCAUCUGCAAACACAUUGGUAUGUAAUGAAUAUGGCUUUCCUUCUCUAUUGCCCAAAAAUUCAAAGUCCAACUCGUCAUGCCUAUUUCCUUGUGAAAUCAACUGCACACAAAAUAAAUAAUGAAAUUAACAAUAAUAAUAUAUAUCUAUUAAUUUGGCCAAUUUCCCUUAUGGCAUGAUAUGAUAAUUUAGCUUCGUUAACUUUCUAAACAUAUUUUUUGUUUCUAUUAAAAAUAAAUUGUGUUAAUUUUAUUUGUUAAAAAAAAUUAUGAUUAAUUAAGUGAAUAAUUAUCUAUAUUUUUUAAAAUAAUAAAAAUAUCGGAUAAUUGUUUUGAUUAAAUUUUAUCGUCUCUUAACUACAAUGAUCAACUUCAUGAGUCUCAUAUUUUAUUAACAAGUUAAACUUAUAGAAAUUUAAAAAGAUAUAUAUGAAAAAAUGUUUUUACAAAAUAACGAAUCUUGAAUAUUAAUACGAUUUUUGAUUUAAUUUAUUAAUAAAAGAAAAAUAAAAUAAAAUAAAUAAUAAAUUAAAUAAUAAAUUACAUUAAGAGAUACAUAAUCAACCAACAUAAAAUAAAUAUCCGGAAGGUAGCAGUAAGAAUUAAGACAAUGAAAGAGUUUGGUGCAAAAGAUCCACAAUUCGAUGAUCUCGCACACUAACAAUCUUUCCUCCCCUAACUAAUUACUACUAUUUAUUUAUCCAAUAAAUAAAUAAAUUAGUGUAAAACUAACUAAUACAACUAAUUAACCAACCAAUUAAAAUUAAUUAAAAAAUUAAUUAGUUAAUUAAUUAACAAAUAAACUAACUAAUAUUAAGUCAAUCCAUAUAAACUAACUAAUAUUAAGUCAAUCCAUAUAAACUAACAAGAUAUUUAAUAAAUAUAAUAAAAUAAGAGAAAGAACUCACAUAGUAAGUUGUGACAACUCCAACAGAGUCAGUACCUGGCACUUUGAUCCUCACAUGAAAGAUUCCAGAGUCGUAAGACAUCUUCGAUGCAAAUUUAGACCCUAUUUGUCAUGUGGGUAUAAAUCAAUGUCAAAUUAACCGGCAAAUAGAAAGUAAUGUGGCAAAUAGCAAGUGUUGUAUAGAAAGCAAUGUGGCAAAUAGAAAGUGUUGUCUGAGUGGCUAGUAGCUUGAGUCUUUUAACCAUAUGUCCAGGGCUUGAAUCCUAGUGACAGAAACAGAGUUGCAUAUGCUCGGGGAGAGGAGUUGCCCCACAAUUAGUACUCUUCAUCCUAGAGGGAUUAGUCCUACAACUACUGAUUAAUGUGAUUCUACAGUUCUGUUCCCAGAUUGGAAAAAAAUAAACAGGUAACCCGCUCUAUAAAACCGUGUUAGCACUUGGCCCAAAACAAAGUCACUCUCACUCAAACUCACACUAAAGAGAGUGACUACGAAAGUAAGAAGGCAAGAACCAAGUUUAUAGAAAGAAACCUGUAUCAUGGGUGCUUUACAAAAUUUCUAUGUUGCUUACAAACUCUUUAUCACUCAAUGUCUUGGCCAAUCAAGACCUCCACCGUUUAUGAGAGAAAAUAAUAUGAGUUUUAAUAUUAUUGAUAAUAGCUUAAUGGUGACUUGAUUACAAAAGACUCAAUAUUAAUAUCAAUUUAUAGAGAAACAUAGACCUAAUUCUAAAUAACGAAUAAAUAAUAAUAAUAAUAAUGAGAGAUAUUCUAAGAUAUCUCUAUGAUUAUAAAUUGAUCCUAAUAAAUAAUUUAAGAUACUCUAAUAUAAUAUAAAAGAUAUUAUAAGAUAUUUUUUAAUAUUUUAACACUCCUCCUCAAGCUAAAGCUUGCUAAGCUUUAGUUUGCUACAAGAAAAUAAUAUUUUGCUCUGCAAAAUAAUAAAAAUGAUGGAAAAGCAAUUCAUGGAUGCAGGUGAAAUCGGAGAGAAUUGCUAUAAAUAUAGCCUAGCCAGAUAGCCGAUAUAAUCAUCAGUCUGAGAGAAAUUCAUGGCAAGCAAUUGAACAAAGCAAGGCCCGUUCUUCUAAAAACUACAUUUGGAAGCUUCAAACCAAUAAUAUUGGAGAGGCGUGCUUCAAGGAGAGAAAUGCAAGACCAGUACAUCUGGGACAAAAAUGGGGCCAAUGCAUCUGGGACAAAUUGUCAUGCUAAAGUGAGUCAUGAAAACAAAAGACAUUUUCAGAAUGACCAUCAAUGGAAAAAGAAGUCAUCACUAAUAUGAUUCAUCUGUGGGAAAAGGGACACCAUCGGAAUGAUCUUCGGUGGGAAUAGAAGCCACUGUUAUAAUCUAUUAGUAAGAACUAAAUUGCAUGACAAACACCAAAGAGGAAGCAACGCGACUCUAAUGACACGAAGCCAUGAUUGAUCAGCGAAGUGAGAAAAUGCAUCCAAAACAGGAGAGACAAUGGUUGUUUCGGAAAACUUGCUGGAAAACUUUUCCAGCAGCGACAAUAGAUAAAAGGCAACAGUAGACGGCGGAUCUUGGAGGCACAUGAGCGCGUGUGGAGCAACUUUUGAACUAAAAAAAUCUGGGUAUUGUAGAUUGGGAGAUUCCGCACACGAUGGAAGUGGGUGUAACCGUAGCCUGAAACUAGAAUACGAGGGCAAAUUCGAAACUUAGAGGUUGAGGCGCGAUUGGCUGUUGAAGCGAGAGCCAUCGUUGCUUGCUAAGUUGGGAACUCACUAUGAGUGAUGUGUAUACAUUACACUACAGAAGUUCCGCCAUGAACGCGGUUUGCGAGCUUCAGGUUUCGGUGAUGGUCCAAGAGUUUCUCUUCUGUGUGGGCCAAGUUUUUUGGGCUUUAUGUAAGCCCACUUAUAUUUAUUUAGGGAAAUCUUCUCUUUCAUUGUAUUCUCACAUGAUCCAAAAUUCUAAAUUUGCCCCUCUUUGGAUAUAUUAAGUGAUACUCUAACACAUAAAUUUGAUGUCAUGUCUUAGGAAACUUUUUGACGUUAAAUAGAGACAUAAAGAGACUAAUGACUAAUUCUUUUUCUCUAUUUAUUUAUUCCCCAAAUUUUUAAAUCCAUAAAUUCUCAAAAUAAAAAAAAAUAAAAAACUAUCAAAUUCCUAAAUUGUACCACCCAACUAACUUCUUCUCAUUCUCUCCUUAAAUUUGAAAUACAUGAAACAUUAGUCUUGAGGUUUUCGUCAAGGAGUUGAAAUUGGAAUUCCUCUAAAUGAUGUUGGUCCUCUGAAAGGUUGUGGAGAAGGUGUGGGUUCUUUGAGUGGUGUUGGUCCACUAAAAGUUUGUGGAGGUGGCGUUGAUCCUCUAAUAGAUGAUGGUCUGAUUCCAUGUCCAUCAAGGAUUCCCUACAAAAUUUUAAACAAUCAUACAACUUACAUGCUAAAUUUUCUAACUCGUUAGCAAAAAUCUCACUAAAAUUUACUUCUCUAUGAUUUUAAUAACUUACAAGUAAAAUGUUCUCUGACUAAAACCAAAUUUCCCCCACAAAGUAAAACAGUUAUUGACAGAGAGAUUCGUCACAAAGUAAACUAGACAUAUCAGACUAGUAAUUGUAAAAGUAGUGUAUUGAUCUUGGGAUUAUGUUUCUAUCUCUCUUUGUGGAUUUGGUAUAAUAGACACACUCUAUUGUCAUGUCAUUCCCCACCACAAUUAGAGCAUGUCCACUCAUUAUCAGAUCUCUUUAGUUUAUAGCCAUUGAUCGAAUCUUUAUUUCGAUCAUUUCUUUUCUUUUUCUUUUUCCUUCCCAUAGUUUUCUUUAAUGGAUGUGGUACUGAAGUAGCAAUGUCAAUCACAAAAAAAUGGAGGUUUGAAUUGUGAUUUCACCUUUUUAAAAUUUCCUGUUAAAACAUAGAGAAUUUAACUCAAGAUUAAUGAUGGUUAUGAAACUAGAAAAUGAAUAACGUUCUUGGUUAGUAGUGAAAAACACAAAAUUUAAUUUUUCUAUUUAAUUUGAUAAUCAAAAUACUAGAAAUAAAUAGAGAUAAGGGAAGAGAUAUCACACAGAGAUAUAUUCUGGUUCACCCAAUCCGGGUUACGUCCAGUCCUCACAACCGUGAGAUUUUUUACUAAGUGUUCAACACGAAGAACGUUCUUGGUUUUUACACCACCAGUUCAGAUCAACCUUGAUCUGUUAUAAUCUUCACCUUUCAACUUAGAAAUCAUUUUUACAAUCACCUUUCAACCUUGAAAAGAUUUUUACAAACACACUCAAUCUAACAUAAAAGAUAGACUUGAGUUACAAAUGAUGUGUAUGAUAAAAAUGUUUGGGAUCUUGAAAUUUCUCAAUACUUGUUUGAGAGAAAUGAAAGAUAAACUCAGUAAAUAAUGACCCAAAGAUAUAGUGAAGAAAGUUGGAGUUUGCUUAAAGAGUUUUUUUUUUUACUUGUUACUUGAACAAGUGUUGGUAGAUUUGUAAAUUGAACUCUUGCAUUCAUCUUCCAAUUGAUCUUCAAUUUAUAGAUGUUAAAAGGCUUUGAAUAUAUAUUUUAAAAUGAAACAUGUGUUUAUCUGUUGUCCAGAACGUUCUUGAUAAAACAGAGAACAUUCUUGCUAUUGGGUCUCUUGGAAAAUGUGAAUGAGUGAGUGAAUGAGUUGACACUGUUUUGAGUCAGAUUUGUGCAUAACUUUAUGCAGAAUAUUGUAAGUACAAUGUACUUGUGUCCUUGCUCACAACUCAACAAUUUGGAGAUCAAUCUUGAGAUUGUUUUUUACCUUUGGGCAUUGAUCUCGAGUUUUUGGCUUCACCAAUGAUUUGAGAAGUCUUUAUACUCUUUAAUAUGUGGUUUAGACUGUGGAAAAUUAUUUUUUUCAAUUUUAUCUUUUAAAAGAGAUUAACCAGAAUGUUCUUUUGUAAAACAAGAACAUUCUUCAUUUUCUAUUUUGUAUGAGUGUUGGAUUUUGACAGUUGUUGUGUGUCAGUCCUUUGUCUCAUAAAAACAUGAUGUGUUUUAUGCAAAAAGGUGCAGCAGUAGUGUCCUUGUUGUCAUGGUUGUCCUUACUCAUAGCUCAUCAAUUUGGAGAUUGAUUUUGAUGGUUUGCUUUGCUUAUGUUGAUCCUCUUUGAUCGAAUCUAUUUAAAAAAAUUCUUGUGUAGAUUAUUAAAUUACUCUGUAAUGAAUAUUGAUGUUUUGUAGUAUAGAUACAUGUAUUUUUGUAGUCCAGAUCCAAUUUAAACUACAACAUAUUUUGCUCUUUGUAAACCAGAACGUUCUUGGAUUAAAACUGUAAAAACAGAUAAUGUUCUUCAUUUCUGUUUUGAGUGAUUGUUGGAUUUUGACCAUUCUAACAGUUGUUGUGUGUCAAGUUUUUCUGCUUUGUACGUGUGUUAGUGAUGCAGUGACUUUAUCAUUUAUGUCCAGUUUGUACUUGCAUACUUUUUAGCCAUCAAUUUAGGGAUUAGUCUUACUUUUUAUUCUUGAUGCAUUGCUUUGUUUUUUGUUGAUCUUAUGAAAAGAAUAUGUCCAAAAUGAUCUUAAGUAUACAAUUAUGUUCCUUCGUAAUGAAUACUGGUGAUUUGCAAUGUAGAUUAAUGUAUUCUGUAGCCCAAAUUAAUCUUGAUUUAAAGAAGACUUUGUUCUUUGUAAACUAGAAUGUUCUUGGAUUAAAGCUAUCAAAACCAGAACAUUCUUCGUUUUUCAGAAUGUUAUCAAGAAUUAUCUUCGUUUUUCAGAAUGUUGUCAAUAAUGUUUUUCGUUUUUUCUAUUCAAUAACCAGAACAUUAUUCGUUUCUCAUAUUUGAUAUUGCUUCUUUCAAAUGAUCUUGUUUCCGAUUUAUAACAUAAUAUGAUCACUGAUUGUUGUAUGAAUGUAUUUGAUCACCUUCUUCAUGAAGAUGUAAUAAUCAUUCUCUUGAAUGAAUGAUAUAUGAUACAUUCUUUUUGAGAUUAUUUCAUUAUUGAUUGGAUACUUAUGUAGUUUGAUGAAGUGAGUUAAAACUCAAGUGCAAUCAUUAGUAUACCACCAUUCAUAAAACUUAAUCAUUUAUUUCAUAAGGUUUGUUGUUAUUAAAACAUAUAUCCAAAAGGUUUUUGCCUCAACAGGUACAAGUUUGGGUAAUCCAUUAUCCUCUCAAUAUUGUUGAGAAGUUGAAGGGUUUAUGAAGUAAUUGUAGGUUGUAUUGUAAGAGGUAAUUGUAAGUCAUCCAUUUAAAACUUUGGAGGAGAAGAAGAAUAAGUAAUUUAGGUAGUGCAGUUUAGGGAUUUAAUUAUUUGGAGAAAAAUAAAUAGAGAAGAAAAACUAGUUGUUAGUCUCUUUAAUGUGCUUAUUUAUGGUCAAAAUGCUCACUGUAAUGUGGCAUCCACACUUAUGUGUCACGGUGUCACUUAACGUGAAACACGAGCACCUAUAAUAGAGCUCAUUGGUGGAAGGAACAUUUUGCUCGACGUUAGACAAAAUGAGAGAUUUUUUUGCAAAGUGUAAAUUUUAGUGAGCAUUUUGAUUGAGAGUUAUAAUUUGAGGAGGCAAAUUGGAGGUUUACUCCACUUAAAAAUCCCAAACUCAAAAAUUCUCAAAUAUUUGAUUUUUCAUCAAAACAUCAUAUUUAGUUGGUUUACUAGUCUUAAUUGAGAUGUACAUGUCGUUUUUCCCCUUAUUUUAGUUUUUCCAUUUGUGUUUUUCUUCUUCUAAUCUACCAUGUCUAGAUUGACUAAUCCACGUACACUAUAUUUCUGAUUUUUUUUUUUUGUUUUAUUUCAUAGUUUCGUUUAGGGUAUUAUUAGUUUUAAUUAUUUUCAUUUUUCAUUUGUUUGUUUAAUUGAGAGAUGCUCCAAAUUUCCCGUAUUAGACAUGGUGGAAUUUCAACUCAUGCCUCUAGUUAUAGAUAACAUUAGGAGAAACAAACUUAUGGGAAGGAUUAAAGUUCACAUACAAAAAAAAAAAAAAAUACCACCACCACAUAUUUUAUCAUUUUUUGGAGUUGGAAUCUUUCCACGAAUACGCGGCAACUUAAAUAUAGAUUUAAAUAUAGAUAGGAGAGAAAAAUAUUCAAAUGCAUUUUGUUUAAAUAUCAAAUAAUAUAAAGUAAUCACUUGCAAAAUUUAGCCUCAAUCAUGGCCCACUUUAAUGUAGGCAUUCUAUAGGAGAUGUAGGAUGUCUUUUCCUAUCAGUACAAUAGUCAUAUAUUACAUAAUUUUUCUUUAUAUUUUUUAAUUGUUUUUCUUCUUGAGGAUUUAGUUGCCAAUAAUUUUGGUUAUUCCACCAGAAAUUACCAUUAAAACAUUUAGGAUCAACCAAGUUUGGAUUUAGACUUGGACAUCCACUAACAUCAAAUCCUUGGAAGUAUGCUUUAAAAGGUGCAUAUUUCCAAUUGAUUUUCGCUUUGCCUCCAUCAGAUGCCCAAUCAUCACCAUUUCACAAACUUAUUUGUAUUUGCAUAGCAUUUAAUGGAUAGCUCGCUCCAAUAUUGGUAUUGUUCUUGUAUACUCUAAUGGGGAUAUUGUCCACAUAAAAUCUGCCAAGCCAAAAUUUGAUCAAAUUUUACAAUUACAUAUAUAACUAUAUGUAAAUACAUUAAUUAAUAUAGACUUGUACAAAGAACUAGUGUGCAUGUAUGUAUCUUACACAAUUUGAUGUGCAUUCCAAAGAAUUUUGUAGUCGUGAAAAUCGACUGUGGGGUCAAACCAAAGAUGAAUUUUUUGCUCCCUGUUUCCUACUCCAUUUGCAAACACAUUGGUCUGUAAUGCAUAUGGCUUCCCUAUUCUAUUGCCCAAAAAUUCAAAGUCCAUCUCCUCGUGCAAUUUUCCAAGUGUUUUCAACUGCACAAUAAAUGAAAAAAAAAAUGAUAAACUUAUUAAAUUAUCUUUAUUAUUAGUUGUUGUAUUCUUUUUAUUAUAAAUGUAAAUUCAAAAAUAACAAUUUUAGUGUAAUACACGUAAUAUUAAUUAUGAUUUAAUUUAUAUAUAUUAUCAAUACAAAUAAUUUAUUAUUAAAAAUAUUUGGUAGUAAAUUUUUUUAGACAUAACAAUUAAAUUCUAUUAAUUAUAGGAUAAAGCUGAAAAAAAAUUAAUUAAAAUUGUAUUCGAAAUUAAAAGUAUAUACUUUUAAACAAUUUAAAUUUUGUAAAUGUGGCAAUUAUUAUAAGAAACAUGGACUAAUAAUUAGGAUUAAAUCCCCUCUUAUGGCAUGAAAUGAGAGUAUAAUUUCAUAUUCAACAUCAUAUCAUAUCAAAAUAAGGGGAAAGAACUCACAUAGUAAGCUGUGACAACUCCUGCAGAGUCAAUACCUGGCACUUUGAUCCUCAUAUGGAAGAAUCCGGAGCCAUAAGUCAUCUUCGAAGCAAAUCCAGCUCCUAUAUUGCGUAUGUGACAAAUUAAUAUCAAAUUGACUUGCAAAAAAGGAAGCAGUGUUCCAUAUUAAGAUAACUAAUCUACCAAUUACGUUCAAAUUAUAGUUACCCCAAGUUUUCUAUAUUGUAAUGUAUAUUUUUUUUGUUUACUUCAGAUAUUUUUUAAAAGAAAAAUGGUAAUAUAUAAAAAUAAAAAAAAGCAUUUCUAAAAAAAAUAUAAAGGUGCUCGCAUCUAUGUAUAUAAUACUUUCUCUGUCUUAUAAUAAAGAAAUGAAUGUUAUAACAUAUAUAGAUUUUUUUUAAAGUCUAUUUAUUUAUAAAAAAAAUUAAAUUAAAAACCACUUAAAAAACAUUUAAAUCUGACGACAUAAUUAAGUAAUUAUAGAUGAAUUAUUAUUAUAUUAAAUUGUACCUUUUAUGUUAAAUCAUUCAUUCUCUAACAUUUUCUAUAAUUUAUGCAUAUUAGUUUAUAUUACUUUUUGACUUAUUUAAGUGUAUUAUUAUAAAAUAGAGUUUAAAAAUAUUUUAUAUAAAGUUGAAUUCUUUAAAAUGUUAUGUUGAAUCUCAAAAUAGAAUUUAAUCUCAUUGACUUAUUAACUCAUUAAUUUAUUUAAAAGAAUAUUAAAUUAUUUAUUUGAAAAUAUUAUUAUAAAAUAGAUAUUCAAAUAUACUAAUAAAUUAUACUAGACUUUCAAAUAUAUCAGACUUAUACUUUGUAAAACCUAACUUGAUCAACAUAUAUAGACUUUUGUAGAUAGUUUGAUUAGUGAGAAAAAAAAAAUACUAAAACAAUUCAAAAGAAACCCCAGAUUAAAAUUUAAAAAAUUAAUGUAACUAAAUAUUUGAUAAUACAACUUUUAAGACAACAAUGAUGAAUUUUGCAUAAUUAAAUUGUGAAUGUAUAUAGUAAGAUAUUGACUGACAUAACAAAAUCAUGUGUCUUAUUUUCAAUGAUAAUUACCAUUUUCUAUGUUAUGUUAUGGAACUCUAGAGGAAGAAUCAUAUGACCAAACAAAAUCAAGUCCUAGACACUAUAGUAAUGGGAGUCAUUCUCUCCCAUGAAAUCUUAGUCUCAUAUAUAUAUAAGACAAAAAAAAUAAAAAAUAAUGGAUGAUAUUUUCUCCAUCUCAAAUGAAUAUCAAUUUAUCAAAACAAAUUUAUCUUAUGACGAAUGUGAUUUACAAUUUUAAAAAUAAUUUUAAUUUUUUUAUACUAUCUUUAAUAAUUAAUAUAUAUAUAUAUAUAUAUAUGACACUUAUUAUAAUCAAUAGAUUAAUUUCACCUAUAGAAACAGUAGUAUUACCAGCAUCAAAUAAAAAAUGAAAAAAUAGAUUUUAAUUUUGACACCAUUCAUGUUUAACGACUAAAUUAAAGACAAAUUUUAGUCUUUAAUUUAGUUGAUAUUUUAAUUAAAUUUGUUUCAUUUUUAUGACUUAAUCACUAAUAUACUUGUAGUGUUGAAUAUUUUUUCUUUUAACUGAAAAAAUAGGUGUGACCAUUUAAACAAAAAAUAAACAAACGUGGAAAAGGCGAUUUAACAAUAAUUAAGGUAAAAUGAAUGAUUAAUAUAUAACCUGAAUAGUUAUCCAUUGUGAGCAGAAUUUCUUUCCCUUGGUUUAAAGACACUAAAUGAUUGCCACCCCAUGUGGGGUUGUAAGUUUGACCAAAUACUACUCUUUCAUUUUUCCUAAUUACUCUACCAAGAACAACAUGAGGGACGAGGACCAAAAUAAAAAUAAUAAUUAGAGAACUCAUUGAAUAAUGUGAGCAAAUUUAGCCACAGGGUUUAAUCUUUUACACAGCUAUGAAUCGAUUUGAUUAUAAUUGCUACUCUAGUUCUUCAUCUAUAUAUAUAUAUAUGUGUGGGUCACGUUAACUUUUCAAUAGUCAAUACUUUUUUUGACCCGGCCAUUUUUAGUGUUUGAAUAAAUUAACUUUAAAAUUAAAACAAUAAAUAAGACCUUUGAAAAUAAAGUUAAAUGCGUUUGACAGUUAAGUAUUUUUGCUGCUUUAAAAGCUAUUGUUAAAGUGUAGUAUAUUGAAAUUCUAAUCAUGAAAAGAUACAAUUAAUGAAUGAAAUAAAUGUGUUAUAAUAUUUUAUUGUUCUAUAUUUGAAAAAUUAUUAAAUAAUUUUACUAAUGUACUUAUUGGGUUAAAAUUUCUAAUAAAGUUUUAACGAAACUAAGAAACUCGCCAAUAUAAAUAUAAUUUAAUUAAUUGUACAAACAUUUUAUUUUAACUUUAAUAUAUUAGUUUAAAAAUUUAUUGAUAUAUCUAAUUUUAUCAAUGUAAUUAAAUAUAUUUUAAUCUUAAUUUUGACUUACAUAGUUACUAGUUAAUAUUAUAUUUAACAAAAUGGAUAAUUUUUAUUUUUUUUCCAUAUUUUUUAUUAAUAGAAAACAUAAUAUAUAGUAUUAUGUAAUUCUUUUUUUACGGAAGUUUUAUAUGAUCAACAAUAUACACUACGGCCAUUUUUUAUAAUAAAAUAUAUACAAUUUUUGGUAAGAGAAAAUAGUAUUAAUACUUGUAGUUGGUCAAAAACAUAGUUGUUGGUCAAAUUAAUUUGUAAAUUAACUAAAAAAUUAAUUAGUUAAUUAAUUAACAAAUAAACUAACUAAUAUUAAGUCAAUCUAUAUAAAUUAAGCAGAUACUUAAUGAAUAACAUAAAAUAAGAGAAACAACUCACGUAGUAAGCUGUGACAACUCCUGCAGAGUCAGUACCUGGCACUUUGAUCCUCAUAUGAAAGAUUCCAGAGCCGUAAGACAUCUUCGAUGCAAAUCCAGACCCUAUUUGUCAUGUGGGUAUAAAUCAAUGUCAAAUUAACCGGCAAAUAGAAAGCAAUGUGGCAAAUAGAAAGUGUUGUCUGAGUGGCUAGUAGCUUGAGUCUUUUAACCAUAUGUCCAGGGCUUGAAUCCUAGUGACAGAAACAGAGUUGCAUAUGUUCGGGGAGAGGAGUUGCCCCAUAAUUAGUACUCUUCAUCCUAGAGGGAUUAGUCCUACAACUACUGAUUAAUGUGAUUCUACAGUUCUGUCCCCAGAUUGGAAAAAAAUAAACAGGUAACCCGCUCUAUAAAACCGUGUUAGCGCUUGGCCCUAAACAAAGUCACUCUCACUCAAACUCACACUAAAGAGAGUGACUAAGAAAGUAAGAAGGCAAGAACCAAGUUUAUAGAAAGAAACCUGUAUCAUGGGUGCUUUACAAAAUCUCUAUGUUGCUUACAAACUCUUUAUCACUCAAUGUCUUGGCCAAUCGAGACCUCCCCCGUUUAUACUAGUCCCAUGGAUAGUGAAGAUUUAGUACCAAUGUAGAUCCAUUCUCUAGACUCCAACAUAACAUCUUACACAUUUACAAAUGAUAUUCCUAAGCAGAGUUCCCAGUUGUUCUAAGUCCUUUCUGUCAAACUCGGUAGAACCUUUGGUAGAACCUUUGGAUAAUUACAAAUUGCUGAAAUUAUAGAAAUAAUAGUAUUUCAGGUAUAAAGAUGUUACUAAAACAGACAAAGAACUGAUCCUUAUUUAUACAAAUAUACUAAACUCCUAAACUUAAUUAAAUGAGUAGAUGAAUCCUGAAAAAUAUAUUUCCUUAACAAGCCAAGUUUGGACUGAGCAUAUUCUUGUCUAGCUUGACUCACUUUUCCCCAACUUUGAAGAACUCAGAAGGACAUAUAUGUAUGCCAAAUUGAUAUUUCAUGAUACCUCCUACUUUCCUAUCAUAACAUUAGCAGUCUUAUUUAUUUAGUUCGUAAUGAUCUUUGAAUUAAGAUUUCUGCAGUUGUUUGAUAACAUUAACUUAAAGGAGUUUGUUAAUCUAACAAAAAGUGAGGUAAAUAUCCAGAAGAAAAAGAAAUACAAAAGAAAAUAAGAAUUUGAGCAAACCUUAUCAAACUCUAUAUUUAAUACAGCAGAUUUAAUGUCACAAGGAAGCAUGAGGAUCAGCUCCAUCAUCCCUAGUGAUACUUUGUCUUCAGAAGGUGAAACACUUAUUCUCUCAACAAAGGCUGUGACUACUUGAGGCUUUUCAUCUACUAAUAAUUGUAAGGUGUGGUAAUAUACCUUAAUAUACCAAGGCACAAUUUGGAGAACAUUAACUUGUAACUUACACCUCUCUUCAAGAUCACUGGCUGCAACGAAGCCCUUAGUCAAAUCCGUAGAUUUCAAGGAUAUUGCAAUCGAACCCCUUUCAUUUCCACUUCCCAUUAAAAAUCUACUGGCAUAUAAAGGUGCGUGUGAACUGGACCAAACAACUGGAUGCUUCCAAGUUAGGCCUAAAUCAAACUGUUCGGUGUCUUUGUACCCAUUGAUUGAAUAUUCAUACAGAACUGAGUUUUUUUCCAGCUCUCUAUGGACCCUGUCUGGGGUAACAGUUAAGUCAAAGCCAAGAUUCCACCUCAAAUCAUCUGUACCUAUGUCAUUAGAAGCAUAUGCAGCAGUAUUCUCCUGGAGCUCUUCAAGUUUAGUAACUAGACCCCUUUCAACUUGAAGGUAAACAUUACUCGACUUGGCAAGAACACAUCUUCCAUUUAUUUUUCGUCCAAAUAUUGAACUCAGAGACCAGCUUGGUUGAAUCUUUGUUUCACUUGGAUAGCUCAUGCCAGCUCUCUGAAUAUUAGGCUCAAGAACAACUGUAAGCGUUUGUUCUAGAAUAAUUCCUGAAUCCAACCCAUCUGCAGCAGUUUUUGAUGCUGUCAAGUGCAAUCGCUGUGAAUGAUAAAACCUUCUGUAAAUAGACGGUCUAUCCAUUAAGGCCGAAAGUCCAGCUUUAUCUCGACAAGGAAGGAGUUUCAACCAGGGAGUUAGAUUCUCUGUGCAUACAGCUUCACGUGGCAGUGUGCCAUAUCUUAAACUACCUAAGGCUGACUGAAAUGCCCAUUUCGGAGCAGAAUAAGAGCUAGAAGACUCUAGGAAGUUUAUUGAAGCGCAAAAAAGACCUGACAGAGAAUGAGUUAAAUUUUUCCAAGAAGCAUCAACCUGAUGUUGUGGGACAUCAAAGACUGCCCACAAUUCAACUCCAGGAGGCUUUGCAUUUUGGCUGGAUAUUGGAUCAAAUCCACCCCAUCUUUCAUAGUUCCAUCAACCUUGAGUGAAGGAUAACUCCAUUGCUUUAAUGUGAAAUUUCUUAACCUGUCCAUCCAACACUAAUCCACAUGUUAAUUAGUAUAUUCAGGAAAACAAUUCCGAGAAGACAGAAUAUAACAAAAUUAACAAAUUUGCUUCUACAAGUCGCAGGAACAACACAAAAACAUAGUAUAUACUAAAUCAUAAGCAAGCAAAAUUAAAAUAUUAAUUUAUAAAACCCGGAAGGCCCGAUAGCAUCUGGUGCCAAGUAACGGAUUUGCUCUGAAAUGAAACCAACCAAUUAUUUUAGGGAUAAACGAUAUUCAUCUCUGAACUAAAAGUACAAAUACUUAGAUGGCCAAUUCAGUUUACAACGAUCGCCCCAUGCUUUAUCCAGUUACACUUACAUCUUCCAUUUGUAAUCAUAUAUCUUAAAAGUAGAUUGUAUCAGAUAUGAUCUAACAAGCAGACUGAUGCUCAGGGAAAAGCCAAGACAACUUCACCUCAAUGAUGCUAGACAUUCAACUCUCUUCGUCAAACGGUCAUUCAUAUAUACAAGACUUAUCAAUUCAGGAAACAUGUAUUAAAUACCUCAAUAGGACUUAAAGCAGCGAGUAACAGAAAUAACAGUCAGCAACAGUAAAUGCAGGGAUUAGGCAGUUGAAAUAGUUACUAGAUAUACAAAUAGACAUGGGGAUCAUAAGUCAAUAUCAGUCUAGAAUUAAUUUUGACAUGUUUGGUUGUUAUCGAGUUGAAUUGAUUUUAACUCCAAAAUUGAUUAUGACUUAAUUGGCAUUUAGUGUUAGAUUUAUCCUCAACUCACUUUCACAUGAAUGUAUCUAAACAUAAGUCAGUUUCAACUAACUAUAAGUCAAUAUCAAUUUUACAGAAUCAAUUCAUUCAAAACAAUUUUUGCAAGAACAAAACACACUGUAAAAGUAAAACUUUAAAGAAUCAUAAGCAACAUUAAGUUUAAACUACGUAAAUAUCACAACAUCUAGGAAAUAUUAAAACAACUUCAAUCAAUUGAAUCCAAAUUCAAGUGAGACAUUCCAACAAAUAACUUAAAAAUCGAAAAUAAAUGAAUAAAAGAAAAUUGAAAAGUGUAAAGCGCGCACACACACCAGCUGAGAAAUAGAUUUAGGGAAGAGAUGAUGGUGACGAGCGAAGGAAUCUUCAGACAUAGAAGCUUCAGUUUGGAAGUGAAAAUGCGCAAGCCCUUUACGAUCGGGUAAGGGUUUCAAUAGCAACUCCUCGGAAAAUUCUUCUUCUUCUUCUUCUUCUUCUAAUAUUGCCGAUGAUAGAAUCGGAAGAAAGAGAAGAAGAGAGAGAGCAAAGGUCGCUGUUGAAGCGAGAGCUAUCGUUGCUUGCUAAGUUGGGAACUCACUAUGAGUGAUGUGUAUACAGUACACUACAGAAGUUCCGCCAUGAACGCGGUUUGCG
rnacentral:lncRNA from 1 species